CUGCCCCUCUUUACUUAGAUAUUACUGGACAAUAUGGAAAUUUGAUAUUUUCGUAUUAUCUGAGUAAAAGCUAAGUAAAGAUAGAAACACUAAUUUCGUCUGGGUUCCAAAGGAGAAAGAGGAAAAAGAAAAAAAACCAAUCCAAGUAGAUACGAUAACAAAAACCAAUGAAGCGUACCAUGAUGCAACAAAGAGAGUUCGACAAUUCCUU
rnacentral:lncRNA from 1 species